GGGGUUGUAACACAGAGGUAGAGUGCUCGCUUCACAUGUGAGAAGACCGGAGUUCAAUCCUCCGUAACUCCA
rfam:Daphnia pulex DAPPTscaffold_242_Cont7714, whole genome shotgun sequence.